AAAGAUUUAGUUUAAAUAAAACAUAAACUUGUCAAGUUUAAAAAACUAUUAUAAGUAUUCUUUU
rnacentral:tRNA from 2 species